UCUUCGACAAUCAUGAUUUUCCAGAAAAGGGAAUUUCUAAACUGAGUCUUUUGAAUGAGCUUGAUGACAGCUUGUUGCUUGUUGCUUCAAGUGAUGGAAACAUCCGAGUUUGGAAUGAUUAUACACUGAGGGGGAAACAGAAACUCGUUACUGCAUUUUCUUCUAUCCAAGGCCACAAACCUGUUGUGCGGAGUUUGAAUGCGAUUGUGGACUGGCAGCAGCAGUCUGGGUAUCUUUAUUCAUCCGGGGAGAUAUCAUCCAUCAUGCUUUGGGACCUGGAUAAGGAGCAGCUCGUUAAGUCAAUACCAUCAUCCUCAGAUUGCAAUGUCUCAGCACUGGCA